rnacentral:tRNA from 1 species
GUUUAUGUAGCUUAUUUAAAGCGUGGCGCUGAAGAUGCUAAGAUAGAUUUUAGAAUAUCUCAAAAACA